rnacentral:rRNA from 1 species
UACGUAGGGUGCAAGCGUUGUCCGGAAUUAUUGGGCGUAAAGAGCUCGUAGGCGGUUUGUCGCGUCGACUGUGAAAACCCGAGGCUUAACCUCGGGCCUGCAGUCGAUACGGGCAGACUAGAGUUCGGUAGGGGAGACUGGAAUUCCUGGUGUAGCGGUGAAAUGCGCAGAUAUCAGGAGGAACACCAAUGGCGAAGGCAGCUCGCUGGGACGGUACUGACGCUGAGACGCGAAAGCGUGGGGAGCAAACAGG